rnacentral:rRNA from 1 species
ACGAACGCUGGCGGCGUGCCUAAUACAUGCAAGUCGAGCGGAAUGAUGAAGAAGCUUGCUUCUUCUGAUUUUAGCGGCGGACGGGUGAGUAACACGUGGGCAACCUACCUUGUAGAUUGGGAUAACUCCGGGAAACCGGGGCUAAUACCGAAUAAUCCAUUUUGCUUCAUGGCGAGAUGUUGAAAGACGGUUUCGGCUGUCACUACAAGAUGGGCCCGCGGCGCAUUAGCUAGUUGGUAGGGUAAUGGCCUACCAAGGCGACGAUGCGUAGCCGACCUGAGAGGGUGAUCGGCCACACUGGGACUGAGACACGGCCCAGACUCCUACGGGAGGCAGCAGUAGGGAAUCUUCCACAAUGGACGAAAGUCUGAUGGAGCAACGCCGCGUGAGUGAAGAAGGUUAUCGGAUCGUAAAACUCUGUUGUAAGGGAAGAACACGUACGAGAGUAACUGCUCGUACCUUGACGGUACCUUAUUAGAAAGCCACGGCUAACUACGUG